AUUGGUCUGGUUGUUACAAUCAGGAAACUUCAGAAAGCUGCCAAUGAAGAACAGAAUCCACAACAGCCUGAGAACCGGGCCUCUGAAGAGCUGAACUACGCAGCUGUGGCUUUCCGUCCAAAAACAAGAAAAACAAGAGAAGUGGAGCCCAAUGUUGUGUAUGCUUCUACUAGAUAGACUCAGGAUGAAACCA